UACAGAGGGUGCGAGCGUUAAUCGGAUUUACUGGGCGUAAAGGGUGCGUAGGUGGUAAAGCAAGUAAGAUGUGAAAGCCCUGGGCUUAACCUGGGAAGUGCAUCUUAAACUGCUUAACUAGAGUAUGGUAGAGGGUAGUGGAAUUUCCGGUGUAGCGGUGAAAUGCGUAGAGAUGUGGAGGAACACCGAUGGCGAAGGCAGCCCCCUGGGUUAACACUGACGCUCAGGCACGAAAGCGUGGGGAGCAAACAGG
rnacentral:rRNA from 1 species